rnacentral:rRNA from 1 species
UUCAGCAGCUAUAUCAUGCUAUAACUCACAACUGGCAGCCCACUGAAGCUAAGCAGGUGUGAGCCUGCACAACACCUGGAUGGGUGUCCUCCUGGGAAAGCUAAGGUUGCUGCUGGUU